rnacentral:rRNA from 1 species
GACGAACGCUGGCUGCGUGCUUAACACAGUCAAGUCGAACGGAAAGGCCCUGCGUUUUUUGUGUUCUCUAGUGGCGAACUGUUGAGUAACACGUGAGUAACCUGCCGUUGACUUUGGGAUAACUUCAGGAAACUGCGGCUACUACCGGAUAUGAGCUCCUGCGUCAUGGUGUGGGUGGGAAAGUUUCGGCGGUGUGUUGUCGACUCGCGGCUUAUCAGCUUGUUGUUGGGGUAGUGCCUUACCCAGGCUUUGACGGGUCGCCGGCCUGAGAGGGUGACCGGCCAGAUUGCGACCGAGCUCCGGCCGAGCCUCCUACGCGAGGCAGCAGUGGGGAAUAUUGCCCAAUGGGCGGAAGCCCGAUGCAGCAACGCCGCGUGCCGGAUGACGGCCUUCGGGUUGUAAACCGCUUUCGCCUGUGAAGAAGCGCGAGUGACGGUAAUGGGUACAGAAGCACCGGCUAACUACGUG